GCUCCUAGUACGAGAGGACCGGAGUGGACGAACCUCUGGUGUUCCGGUUGUCACGCCAGUGGCAUUGCCGGGUAGCUAUGUUCGGACAGGAUAACCGCUGAAAGCAUCUAAGCGGGAAGCCCCUCCCAAGAUUAGGUCUCACUAGAGCUUCGAGCUCUCUGAAGGUCCGUCGAAGACUACGACGUUGAUAGGCGGGAUGUGGAAGCGCAGUAAUGUGUGAAGCUAACCCGUACUAAUUGACCGUGAGGCUUGACCAUAUAACACCCAA
rnacentral:rRNA from 1 species